UAAGAUUAGCAUGGCCCCUGUGCAAGGAUGACACACAAAUCAAGAAAUGGUCCAAAUUCUU
rnacentral:snRNA from 1 species